rnacentral:rRNA from 1 species
UACGAAGGGGGCUAGCGUUGUUCGGAUUUACUGGGCGUAAAGCGCGUGUAGGCGGGUCGUUAAGUUGGGGGUGAAAUCCCGAGGCUCAAACUCGGAACUGCCUUCAAAACUGGCGACCUGGACUCAAGCAGAUGCAAGUGGAAUUGCGCGUGUAGAGGUGAAAUUCGUAGAUAUUCGCAGGAACACCAGUGGCGAAGGCGACUUGCUGGGCUUGUAGUGACGCUGAGACGCGAAAGCGUGGGGAGCAAACAGG